AGCUUUUUACUCGCACUUGGGUGAUGAGGUCUGAGACAUCCUUACUGCCACCUGGGAGAGGCCCUGGGAAGGGAAGACUUCAUGGAGCCAUGAGGGGAUUAACUUUUCUGGAUCACCUCCUCGCACGGGGAGCAUCUCCUACAUCAACAUCAUCAUGCCUUCGGUGUUCGGCACCAUCUGCCUCCUGGGCAUCAUCGGGAACUCCACGGUCAUCUUCGCGGUCGUUAAGAAAUCCAAGCUGCACUGGUGCAACAACGUCCCCGACAUCUUCAUCAUCAACCUCUCGGUAGUGGAUCUCCUCUUUCUCCUGGGCAUGCCCUUCAUGAUCCACCAGCUCAUGGGCAAUGGGGUGUGGCACUUUGGGGAGACCAUGUGCACCCUCAUCACGGCCAUGGAUGCCAAUAGUCAGUUCACCAGCACCUACAUCCUGACCGCCAUGGCCAUUGACCGCUACCUGGCCACUGUCCACCCCAUCUCUUCCACGAAGUUCCGGAAGCCCUCUGUGGCCACCCUGGUGAUCUGCCUCCUGUGGGCCCUCUCCUUCAUCAGCAUCACCCCCGUGUGGCUGUAUGCC
rnacentral:sRNA from 1 species